AUUGAACGCUGGCGGCAUGCCUAAUACAUGCAAGUCGAGCGGAGCGGCGGACGGGUGAGUAAUGCCUGGGAAUCAGCCUGGUAGUAGGGGAUACAGUCCGGAAACGGGCGAUAAUAACGCAUACGAUCAGAUCAGCCUAGGUCGGAUUAGCUGGUGGGGGGGGUAACGGCUUAGCAAGUCGACGAUCCGUAACUGGUCUGAGAGGGUGAUCAGUCACACUGGGACUGAGACACGGUCCAGACUCCUACGGGAGGCAGCAGUGGGGAAUAUUCGACAAUGGGCGAAAGCCUGACCGAGCAAUGCCGCGUGAGUGAAGAAGGUCUUCGGAUUGUAAAGCACUGUUGGUAGGGAGGCGGUAUCUACCGAGUAAGCAACGGCUAACUUCGUGCCAGCAGCCGCGGUAAUAC
rnacentral:rRNA from 1 species